rnacentral:lncRNA from 1 species
GACUACGACGGCGAGGGGAGCUGACACCGGGUCCAGGCAGCCAAGCCAGGCUAGGAGCAUCAUGUGAAUAGGCCAGAAGGCUCCCAGGCUGGGCAGGUAAGGGGUACUGGGAACAACAGUGUAGAAGGGGGCAAUGGUGGGAACCAGACAGCAGAACACUGCGUCUGUGGAGGCCUAGGCUCCUUAGGUGUACAGAAACCUUUCAGAAAUGCCUUCCUGGAGGUUGUCUGAGCUGGUGGCUCUUGCCUCUGCCAUCUGCUGUCCAUCAUUUCCCACCUUAGGAGGAGCACACUCCUGGGAGAGCCAGCACAUGAUGUCAAGUGUUAAGAAGGCCACCAGCAGCCACCUGUCCAGUUCCUUGAGCUCAGAGGAUGAGGUUUCUGAGGUCCAAAGGUGGCUGUGACCCUGUCUUAACCCAUACCUCCUCACGAUGGUCCGCGGCAAAGCAGGACCUUGCGUGGGGGUGUAGGCUUGACCUGGGCUCCUUCUAUGCCUGUGGCACACAGGGUGAUGAGAUGGACCGUCCUGAGGGCAGGGCCCCAGGAAUCAGUCCCCAGGUCCCUAAGGCAGACCCAAGUGGCAGAAACAGAUGAAAGAGUAACCCAUGGGAUCCAGGUGGACAUAUGAGAAUCGACGGCAGCCUUAGCAACCAGCAUCCUGAAACACAGAGGAGUCAGUAAGGAAGCAGAUAGAUAUGUGUAGGGCGUUUAUCCAGAAUGGAUGUGUGUUCCCCGGGGAAGUUGGUAGUGAACGAGAUGGGAGAAGGGAAGAGGAAAGACUAUUUUUAUCCUGAACUGGGUAUAGCUGGAGCAGGGCAAGAACUUCUGAACUUCCCUCUGGAAAGUCACCGCUCCUGUCCUGCCAAGUGUCAGGACAGGAUGUUCUUGCCUUUGCCCUUGUCCCCAUCCUGUCUUAACUCAGCUGUAUUUGUGUGUUCAUGUCGGCCUUCAUGAUUCUUCCUUCAGACCCUAAAGGAUAGAGGCCCAGAAUCUUGUCACCAGCCACCACCCAUUCGUUCAGUCAAACUCUAAACUCUGGAGGACGGUCUCUUCCUCCACUGACUGUCCAGGUUUCCCUUGCCUCACCGUAGAUGUUUAUGUCACAGAUUUUCCAUCUUGUCAGCAUAUGCUGGCCUCUUCCAAGACCUUGCCUCCUUACAGGGGCAGGAAACACACUGGCUCUUCCGGUGUUUCAUCUGUCCUUGAACUGCAGUCCUCUAGGCUGGCCCUGUGCUGACUGGGAGAGGAAUCCAACAGGGUUGCUUGUUCUUGGAGCUCAGGAUGGUGGCUCUUCUCAAAAGAGCCCAGAGGACAAAGUCAGAGAAUGGGUUGAGAUCAGACGAGGGAGAAGUUUCCUUCAAGGGAAUCUAGAAGCUUCCUGAACAAGGCUCAUUCUGGAAGGUGCUUAGGACAGAAAACUAAGGUCCCCACCCCCUGUGCUGCUCUCCGGGACCACAGAGGCAGAGACCUCAGAAUAAAGUCAAAGGUGCAAGAGCCCAGGUGUGGUAUAGUGUAAACACACACACACACACACACACACACACACACACACACACACACUUUUCAGCAUCAGAGAAAGGCCCAGGAAGAAUUCACUGUCUGAGUGAGUGGUUUGUCCGCCCCAUAUUUCAGUCUGUUUAUAAAGACACAAUAACAAAGCUCUUGCUUCCAAAAUGCCUGGCAAAAUCAAAGGGAUAAUAAUGAUAAUGUGCCCUGGAUAGUAUUGACACACAGUAGGUGCUUAAGGGAAGCUAGGUACUUCCUCUCCCUGCAGAGUGUUGGUUCACACCCAAAAAUUACACCUAUUCGGGGCUUUGUCACCAUGGUGAACCACCCAAUCCCUCACGCUUGUGGUGGUAUGGUUUUGCAAAUGAGCUUGUUUCCUGUAUAUGGUCGGGUGUGAAACUCUCGGAAAGGCCAGAUUCUGAUCUGAGAGAAGGGAUCUAUCCUAAGAGCCGGAUUCUCAGCCAGGCUCCAUUUUGUAUUGUCUGGCGCUCAGAACAAUGAGGCAGGAGCAUGGAGAGUUUGAGCCCAACGUGGGCUACAUAGCUGGACUUCAUCUUAGAAAAAGUCCAGACACACUCGCAAGCAUACCUUCCCUGUUCAGAGCUUCUCAUAUACCAUAGGAAAACAUAUGUGUGCAGGUUCAGUCAGAGGAUCCUAUAAAGCCUUACACACCCACACAGGCUUGAUGGCUUCAAAGCCAAGUUUAAAUCAGAGGAGGGUGUUAGGGGUGAGAGAAAGACAGGCCCAAAAUAAUAUCUAGUAAAGGGGGAACAUUUCUCCUUUCCCCCAUUUUAACUCGGCAUCUUGUGCAUGCUAAGUCCAAGAAGCUGCACGGGACGGAGUCUGUAAUAGACCCCCCGAAGUGUGGGUCUGGAAUACAGAAUGAUGAUCUGUAAUGCUUGCACUGAAAAAACAAAACAAAACAAAACAACAAUAACAACAAAAAAGAAUCCAUGAUGCACCUGAGAAGAAAAUGUUUCAGAGCCAACCAACAUGGCUUCUGUGACAAACGGUCCCAUGAGAGUCUCAGGGUCAAUACUGGCUUGUUAAAUCUCUGCAGAGAAGAAGCCUGCUUCAUUUUGUCUGAUCCAGGAUUUCCUAAACUUCUUAGACACAAAACUAUAAUUUUUCCCCUCUACCACCCAUUCCAGGCCUGGGAUGAAUGGGCAGGGGAGCUGUGUGGUCGGAACAUUUUUGAAGGAUUGUCGCUCAUGGACAGUGGUGGUACUCGCUACCCUAGCUCUCAGGAGAUGGCGACAGGAUGGGAAGUAUGAGGCUAGCUUGGGCUUCGUAGCCAGAUGUUGUCUG